rnacentral:rRNA from 1 species
GACGAACGCUGGCGGCGUGCUUAACACAUGCAAGUCGAACGGAAAGGCCUGCUUUCCCUUGUGGAUUGCGGGUACUCGAGUGGCGAACGGGUGAGUAACACGUGAGUGAUCCGCCCCCAACUUGGGUAUAAGCCUGGGAAACUGGGUCUAAUUCCCGAUAGGACUGCAGGGUGGUGCCUGUGGUGGAAAACGAUUUUCUAGUGGUUGGGGAUGAGCUCGCGGCCUAUCAGCUUGUUGGUGGGGUAAUGGCCUACCAAGGCGGCGACGGGUAGCCGGCCUGGGAGGGGGGAGGGCCAAAUUGGGAGUGAGAUCCGGCCCAAACUCCAACGGGAGGGGGGAGUGGGGAAUAUUGCACAAUGGGGGGAAGCUUGAUGGAGGCACGGCGGGGGGGGGAUGGCGGCUUUGGGGUUGUAAACUCCUUGCGGCCGGGAGGAAGCCACCUGGUUGGAAGGGUGGGGGCGGUGGUGGUAAAAGAAGCCCCGGCUAACUACGG